GUCUGAGAUGGGGCCUCUGACUGGGGUCCUCUGGGUGAGGAUCCCUCUCAGCAACAGACCACUCCCAUUCAAGAAAUCUCCUUCUCCUCUGAGGGAUCACACAAGACAGCACCAUUCAAAAUGUCCAUUCCCUCAAUGCCUAAGCGCGGUGGAGCCCUUUUUGCUCGGUUCUGUGGAGGGAGGGUGGCUACAUGACCACGGAUGCAGUGUGGACCAGCGCCCAUCUUUCAAGGGCAUGGCUGUGAUGCCAACCAGCAACCAGGCACCGGGGAGGGAGCUGAGGGAGCACGAAAGGGAUGAGCCACCCUCUGUCCCUGAAGUGGAGGGGCAUGAGCCUUGGCUGGGCUUAGAGCUAACAUACACAGGAUGCUGAAAAAGAACAACCCAAGGUGUCGAAAACUUUUGGAGUGGGGAGAAGAACGUUCGUGGUGCACAGAACACGACUUUUCAUCAUUUUCUGCUCUAUUACUAUUUUCAGUCAUCUUUGAUCAGGUUCUCUUUUCUUGACUUUUCCCAAAUCUCAGUUUCUUCUUCCUCAAGUAUAUAAAGCAAACUCCUGUGACUCUACCUUCUUCACUAUGCCAUUUUCAACAAUCUUGACCCCAAAAUAAAAUUCCCUGCCCUGAAUAAAGAAGACCCAAGCUAUGAAAUCACAAAAACUUCCUCUAUCCCGGUAGCUUACAGCAUCUGGUGAAGUCGGUAAUUUCUCAAAAAAAAAAUAAAACAGGGACCAACCCUAGACAGACAGAGAUAUGCGACCUUUAAGACAAAGAACUCAAAAUCGUGCUUUGAGGAAACUCAAUGAAAUUCAAGAUAAACAAACAUGUCCCCCAAAAUGACAGUCAAUGUUACGAUAAAAAUAAAGAUUAGUAAAAGACUGACCAGAUAAUGAGAUAGCCUUAUAUUUCCAAGGUCAUCUUGACCUUCAAGAAGGGGUCAAAUAUGCAUUAACAAGUGAAAAAUAGGAAUAUAAAAAGUAGGAUCAUUUGCAAGGCAAUACACAGUAUCUAAUGUGGAAAGUAACGACGGAUAUAAUUAAGACCAGCAAAAGGCCUGCUAUGUGAAAUGAGUAACUUGCACAAGGCACAUCUGCUGAUCUGAGCAGCGGAGAGGGAAGAGAUUAUUCUGGAAGAGGCAGAGGAGUGGUGUGAGAUAAGGACACACUGGUGCAAAAUAGUAUCAUUAGCAAACAGAACCUGCCGGGGGACUGUGGCCUAUAUGACUUUUCUUUCCACUGUCCUCUGUGAGAGCUCAAAUGCACCAUUUUCUGUUCCAAGGAUUUGCUCCCGCAGCCCUCACUCCACCCCAGUUAGAAGCUGCUGGUAUUUAUUCCUCUGCAGUCUCCCAUGGACAAACUCCCACUCCUUCUUCGUGGAGCAUGGUCUAGAGCAGAGGUCAUCUCUCCCUCCCUCCAAAUCCCACAGUAAUUGGCAUGAGCCUCUCUCAUAGCUUGCUCACGUGCCACCUAAUUCUGCACCUUUUCAUUUCAACUAGAUUGAGAGUUAGGUGUGGAUCAUGAACCUUAAACAACACCUUCAUCAACAGGAUGUGUAAAUGACUGCUUUCACUGUUCUAUCGUGAACAGAAGAAAUACACCAUUAAAAUGAUUGUUUAAAUUAAUUUAACCACAAAAACUUUCCCAAAUGCUGUCAACAAUGCAACCGCAAAAGAAUUACUCUCCUAAAUUGUGAGAUUGUAGAAUGAAACAAGAAGCAAAGAAAAUUAUGUCAAAUAUUGGAGAGGAGCCUCAGAAUUUGAAUCCCUCUUCUACAAAUAUCAUUUGACAUGAUGCCUCUCUCUACCUGAGACACAGAAUGGCACCUGUGCCCCAUACCCACUGGAGACUGUGGAAAUCUGGAGGGAGCAACCUUGGUGAUUCUGCCCCAAGAGAAGGGAUUCUCUGGAGCUCUGGACAACAUCCUGGGACUAAGAUGGACAGUGGGAGUAUUGCAGCUUGGAGAGGAUAAUAUUUAAGGGGAACCAAGCUGACACUGGAGCAGUAGUGCUGUGGCUGAGCUGCUGGCACAGAGAUACACAGCCAAGUCCCCCUGCUGUGUGCGCUGGAACUUCAGAGUGGAGAUGGAUCCCUCAGACCUCU
rnacentral:lncRNA from 10 species